GAUUUACUUAAUAUAUAAUGUUAACGUAGUAAAGUUAUAUUUUUAAUAUUAAGUGGUAAUGAAAUGUUUUUCGUUUUUUAUGAUAGCUAGUUUAUAAGUGUAGAAUAUUUUAGUAUUGUAAUAUUAAUAUAAUUUAAUUAUUUUAAUAUUAUUUAUUUUAUAAGGGAUAAGCUUUAUAAAAAAAUAUAGAAUAUUAUAUAUUAUGUUGUGUUUUUAAGUAGAAUUAAAAUUGUUUUUCUUAUGAAUAUUAAUAUAAAUUACUAUUAUAUAAUUAUUCAGAUAAUAAGCUUAUAAAUAUUUAAUAAUUAUUAGUAAGUAAAUAUAAUGUUAAUAUGAGUAUUAAAAAGUAAUUAAAAUAUUAUGAUUUAUUUAAAUUGUAUAUAUUUAUAAUAUUAUUUUUAGUGAAAUAAGAUAAAGGAAUUUGGCAAAUAUAAAUCUCGCCUGUUUAUCAAAAACAUGUCUCUUUGUAUUUAUUAAAUAAAGAG
rnacentral:rRNA from 1 species